rnacentral:snRNA from 1 species
GGAUGUGAGGGCGAUCUGGCUGCGACAUCUGUCACCCCAUUGAUCGCCAGGGUUGAUUCGGCUGAUUUGGCUGGCUAGGCGGGUGUCCCGCUCCUCCCUCACUGACCCAUGUGUGUCCCUCCCGAAGCUGCGCGCUUGGUCAAAGAGGACGACCCCGCACCCCAGGAGAGGACCGGUCUUCGGUCGAGGAUAUACGAAUAGCUGCGUUCCUCUGCUAGAACCUCCAAACAAGCUCUCAAAAUAAGGUAUGUGCAGUGUGCAUAGGAGUUUGUUCAUAGGUUUUUUUUUUUUUAAACUAUAGUCCGGCCCUCCAAUGGUCUGAGGGACUGUGAACUGGCUCCCUGU